AGCAGCCAUCAGAGCUGCAAAGCAAUGCGCUCACAGCAGCGCGAGCACCAAGCCGGCGCCUGCUGUUCAGCAAGACAAGAGGCUGCUGUUAGCGUUCUCCCAUCAGCUAAAGCCAAAGAGACGCUGCGCAGCCCCGCCGUGCUGCCCCGCUAGGUGUCAGUGCUCUCCGUGAGGUUCUGGGGCCGUUUAUCCGCACGCUGUCUGCUCUCCGUGGCUCGAGGCUGCUGCGGCAUCUCGCCGCGUAGCGGGGAGAAUGAAAGUGCCGUCGCAGUAUAUAUUGCCGGAGAGAGUUUUAUUAAAGUUCAUUUUCCAGACUUCAAUUGUAACAGCGUUCUGCACCGCUGUCAUUUAACCGUACAUCGCAAUUUCUCUAUCAAAGCCAAGGCAGCGAAUUCCAAAAGUUGGCUGAGUGCUUCUGAAGGUGAAAGGAAAGCAGGGCAGAACCGCGUCCCUUCCAGUGCUGCCAUCAGGGGAAAGCUGCAAGCAGAGCAGAGCUCACCAAGGGCAGUUUGGGUGUACCGUGAGAAAGGGGUUCACAGCCCAGGGUGCACGACCCAGCUCAGAUGCCUGCAUGCAGACUGAUGCUCCACUGACUGCUGUCCUACAGGUGAUGGGCACAGAGCUGUGCCUGACUCUGUUCUGGGCCAGCCCCUCUACCCCCUGUGCCACCUCCUGAGCCUCACUUCCCUCCAUCCACAGGGCUGCCUGGCUCCCAGGCUCCCUCCAUCCCUGCCAGAGACCUUUCACCCUCUGCUUCCCAGCCUCUCCUUCCUGGCACCCCAAAACGCACUGCCUCUCUCAUUUCUCCCUUUCUCUGCUUCCUUCAGCCCCAUCUCACCUUGCCCACUCCUCCCUGCCCCUCGCCCUGUGGCACAGCUCACAUGAAAUUCAGCAAAACCACUUUGGGAGGGCUGGAGGGAUCCGCGAGUUUGCUUUGAAUACAGCAGCGUGUUUUGGCUAAAGGGAACAGGAGAACAUUUUGAAAAUGUCAAAAUAUUGUGUUUAGGCAUUUUUUAAACAAAAUGUUUCGCUUGGUAGUUGACAAAGAAAUAAAGCAUAAAAAAAUGUUUCCA
rnacentral:lncRNA from 1 species